GUGCCAGCCGCCGCGGUGACACCGGCAGCCCAAGUGAUGGCCGCUAUUAUUGGGCCUAAAGCGUCCGUAGCCGGCCGGGCAGGUCCGUCGGGAAAUCCAUCCGCUCAACGGAUGGGCGUCCGGCGGAAACCGCUCGGCUUGGGACCGGGAGACCAGAGGGGUACGUCCGGGGUAGGAGUGAAAUCCCGUAAUCCUGGACGGACCACCGGUGGCGAAAGCGCCUCUGGAGAACGGAUCCGACGGUGAGGGACGAAAGCUAGGGUCUCGAACCGGAUUAGAUACCCUUGUAGUCC
rnacentral:rRNA from 1 species